CCUCAGAAAACCCUCUUCAAUCUCUCUCUCUUCCCCUCCACACGGACCACACCCAGCACGCAUUUGGGCAAACCAAAACCCUAAAUUACAUUUCUUAAUUUGUUCGAAUUCGAUCUUCAAAUUUCGUUGAUUUUACCGGUAAAUUUAAGAGUCGAGGAAACCCUUCAAAUUUCUUCUAGAUCGGAAAAGUUGGGGAUUUGAUUUAUAUUCUGGGAUCAUUUUGAGACUCGGAGGAUUUGAGGAAUCAUCAGCGGCUAAAAGGAGAAAUGGAAUGUCAUCGCAGCAGACGUUCUCUCAAGGAUUUCCGUCACAACAGAACGGAGUUUUCCUCACUGAAAAUCAGGACCUUGCUAACUCUCUUUCAAUAAAUCAGUAUCGUACUUGUCCCCUCCUAUAUGUUCUCUCACGAAUCCAUCCCAAUCUUUCCGUUUUCUGUCAAAAUUCAACCUCUUAAAAAUGGCAGGAAGAGGAAAAACCCUAGGUUCUGGUGCGGUGAAGAACGAGAUAUCUGGGAGCAGUUAUACUGGUUUUCAUUUACUGAUGGGUCGAAUUUCUCAGUUUUUGAAUUUUGGGAAAAAUGUCGGAGUGUUGUUGUUGGAGAUCCGGUUUACAUCGCCACCGUCCUUGAGUACCUAGCUUGUUUCGAUCUGAGGCGUCAGAUCUGGUUCUAGAUUUUGAUGAAGGAAGCUCAAAAGGCGGAUACAAGGGGUGUGUGUUAUUUGAGCAGGAUCCCCUUAAAGUAUCUACUGAUAGGUGCCUUGUGGUUACUUGUCAUUACUUUCAAGGACUGAGGAAACGAAAGUAGCUGGUGCAGAUUAAUGUGGCACUUUCAAGAGUGAGAUUCCAGCUCUAGCUAAUUAGCAGGUCAUCCAGAGUAACUACCCUAUAAGUUGCAUAGCCUCUACCUAUUGUACUCUCCUCUGUUCCUGCUACCAACUCAUCUCAUUCAUCUGUUGCUGGUGUUGCUACUGGUGUUGCAGCUGGUGCUGGUCUAGCAGUGUUUUGUGCUGGCAGGUCUAUGCUACCGAGUUCCUGCCACUUAUUCUCAAGCGAUGAUUGACGAGACACGGGAUACUUUGGUUACAUAUUUUUCAAGCAAAAACAAGUUUUCAAUGAUCAGAUUGGUGAAGAUGAAGAAAAUGAUAUUUUGGACGUUGAUCAUGAAUGAUCUUUGUAGCUAGUGCAUAUUGACACUUUCUAACAAAUGUUUUGCGAAUCUCAUAGCAAGUUAAUACAUUUGAAGUAUUCUUUUGGAUUUAAGCUUGUAAUUGGAGUUUGGAGAAUGUUAUAUAUUACAGUAGUUUUAUUUAAUUUAUUGUUUUGGAGAACAAGAAGGUACAUUGGUCGGUUUGGAGUAUUUUUAUGCAUAUAUAUAAUAUAGAGUUAAUGGAUUUUUACCAUUAAA